rnacentral:rRNA from 1 species
UAGGGAAUCUUCGGCAAUGGACGAAAGCCUGACCGAGCAACGCCGCGUGAGUGAAGAAGGUUUUCGGAUCGUAAAACUCUGUUGUUAGAGAAGAACAAGGACGUUAGUAACUGAACGUCCCCUGACGGUAUCUAACCAGAAAGCCACGGCUAACUACGUGCCAGCAGCCGCGGUAAUACGUAGGUGGCAAGCGUUGUUCGGAUUUAUUGGGCGUAAAGCGUGCGCAGGCGGUUUCUUAAGUCUGAUGUGAAAGCCCCCGGCUCAACCGGGGAGGGUCAUUGGAAACUGGGAGACUUGAGUGCAGAAGAGGGGGGUGGAAUUCCAUGUGUAGCGGUGAAAUGCGUAGAUAUAUGGAGGAACACCAGUGGCGAAGGCGGCUCUCUGGUCUGUAACUGACGCUGAGGCUCGAAAGCGUGGGGAGCAAACAGG